AUCCAACAGUCUAAUGGAAACCAGGCUUUGUGAUGUCCACUGAUUAGUUUUGACGCAAAAAUGUUUGCCCAGUACUCAGAUUAUCAAUGUGAAGAAAUUCAAUGAAGCGCUGGUAAACGGUGGGCGAAGCCGAAUAUCCCAAAGUAGCCAAGUGCUUCAUCUUCUAAUCAGUAACGCGCGUGGAUAAAUUAACAAGGU
rnacentral:ncRNA from 1 species